UCCCCUGAGCCGUCUCGUAUUGGUGGAUCUGGCUGUGCCACUUCCUAUUUAACGUCACCAGUCCCAUGGGUGCGUAAUUGCUGUCUUCCGGGGUGCCUGUUUGGUUUGGUGGCGCGAUGCGCGAGGAGUUGAAGUGCGUUAUGAAAGUAUGAAUGUUUGGACUGUUGCGUGCUCAUCGUUGACUGCCGUCCUGCAACGGCGUGUGUGAGCGGUCUGGGUAACCAAAGGACGACCGUGGUUGAUUGUGAUUGCAACUCUCCUCUUUGCCCUAUUCUAUUCCAUUCGCCUGGUGAGGUGGCUGUUUGGAUAGGCUGCGCCCCUGCCAGGUUGCUGUCUUGUCCACCUGUGUUGUUCCGGUGCGCGUCAUUCUCCGUGCAUCCAAGCCAGCGACGGUGACGGUCGCUGGUUUUCCCCAACGACGCGCAGUCAGCCUACUGCGCGAGACAUCUUGUAGUGCUAAUUGUAUGGACGGUCAAUAAGCCGGUGCGCUACACCUUCCCUCUUUUAGGCCAGUGUGCGGGUCGUGUACAUGAACUGCAUCUCCUUUGUUUGUUUCAUUUGAUUGCAUGCUGUGUGUGAAGAACCCUUACAUUUGCAUGACUUGCUUUUAUUUAAUGUUAAGAUCCGUGUUAUAUCAAAUUGUGUGGUCAUUUUGGACGUGCUUAAUGUGCAUGCUGUUUUAAUAUUUUGUUUUUGUUCCCAUUUGGAAAGUGCACGAAUUGUAUGCCCAUUGCACCUAGCUACUCCUGGCAAGGUGAUCUGUCCAAGGCUCAUGGACCAUGAAUAUGUAAUGUACAGUUUUAAAUGUUGAAUAACUGUGUACAGAAAAUAAAUUGUAUUUUUGUAUCUCACGUCUUUGUCCUGUAGAGUGACCGAACCUGUGUUGCCUUAAUAGUAUCAUUGAGCUUAACUCAUUUUCCAGGGUGUCCCCCUGGUGGCGUAGUCGGGAUUAACAACUAAAAUUAGUAUUUCCAACUUAAUUAAUUCAACUAAAAGCCACUA